UAAAUAUAAGCUCCAUUCUAUUUAUUCUUGUGAUGUAUACUAUAUCUGCCAGUUCUUACUAUAUGCAUUAGAUGGUACUUCACUUUUUACUUACACAACCUUUCGAAUUGAAAGAAAUUCACAGGCAAUCAAAAGAAAAAUGUGGUUUACUUCCUUGAAGCUCCUGUUUCGGAUAGCAAGAAGCCUGCAGAAGAUGGCCAACUAGUCAUACUUGUCGCUGGGGACAAGGCAUUGUAUGAUGAAGCACUUCCAGCAUUUGACAUACUGGGGAAGAAGUCUUUCUUUUUGGGUGACAUUGUAGAAUCUAAUUGAAAUGAAUGAACCAUUUAAAAUUUUGACAUCGUUGCAACAAUAUGCCUUAAUAUGUGAAAACGAGUUUAGUUCAACUCA